rnacentral:siRNA from 1 species
UGUGUUGAGAUUUCUAAAAGGC